GCAUUUCUUUCUCCUAUCUUCCGUGCGCCUCCGUUCUUCAUUGACCAUCAUGGAUCCCGUGACCGGUCCGUCGCCACCCUCCGCAUCGCGGCGUCAAUCCCAGGACUUUUCUACGGUUCAUACGGGUCAAGAUGACAGUCCUGCCAUGGACUCUACGGCAAAAACACAUCUCAAGGUUUCUGGUUCGCUGAACAACAUUCAAUUUGACUUGCCUGUGGAGAUUGUAGAAAAAGUUAACCAUUUUGCAAAUGAAGUAACUGAAAUGAGGAGAGGGUUUGACAACAUAUUAAUGGUCCAAGAACUCCAAAUGCAACAGAUUGCGGAUUUAACUCACGGUGUUUCACGAUAUCCACGCAAGAAAGAGAUCUCCAUUGACCCCGCUAACUCCAUCGCAAAACGAGUACAUGGACUGGAUGGUAGGCCUAUCAUAGCAAACAAAAAGUUUGAUUAUGAUAGAAGGACAUUUGUGGAAAAUAAGAAAGAUUUCGAUUCCGAGGCAACAUUUCCAGAGCAAUGUACUGUAAUAGACAUACAAUCUUUGGAUCGUGAGAACACCAUCGUGCACAUUGACGAUGUUGUGCUUACAGGAGCAAAUUUGGAGUGUCUGACCAAACUAUAUUGUUACGACGAUGAUAAAAAAUCCAUUAGCCCAGAGGCAUACAAAAUCUGUUGUGGAUGGAAAUGCGUACAUAGAGAGGGCGUCAGUCGUGUCUAUGCUUAUGUUAUCAGCUUUCUAUGAUGGGGUGGAUAUCAAUAGAUAUAAAAAUAUGAUGCACGAAUCAGCUGGCCAUAGAUAUUUACGCCAUGAUAUGGUCUUCCUUCCAAUAUGUACUUCAUUAAAGCAACUGGUAUGUAGCAAUCGUUGAUGGUACUAAACAAUAAGUCCAUGUACUAGAAUCAAUGGAGACCACUGUAAAGGACCAUACUGAACUAAUGCUUGCUUUGCAAGGAGUAGAAAAAUGCAUCAAGCUUGCCAUGGAUUCUGAUGUUCAUUAUCCUACGUGGACUGAUUUCAAUGUCACAAAUUGGGAUAUAAGCAUACGAUACUUGGCCAGGAAGAAGGAUAGGACCUCAAGUGGACUAUUCAUAAUAAAGUUCAUCGAGUACUGGAAUGGGGUGUGUCUGACUAAAACUUUUUUUCAGGAAGACAUCGAUGAAUACAGAAGAAAGAUAGCAGCGAUUCUUUACAACUCUCCAUCCAACAAAAUUCAGAAUCAUGUACAGGCCAUCUCCGAAGAAAUCUAAGAUGUUCAGCUUUGCAUUGGGAGGAGAUUUUUUCAUUAAAUUCUUAGAUGUUCAUUUAUCAUUGCGAUGUUUUAUUUUGGAGAUUCUUAGUUUGUCUUGUCGGAUGUUCAUUUCGAAUAAGCUAGGUGUAAUUUUUUUAAUAUUAAACUCUAUCUGUUAUUUAUUAAAUGAUACUCUAUCUGGUUAUUCAACGAUGUCAGAUGCGGGAACUUAUUCUUUUUUUUUAAAGAAAAUAACGUUCUGCAAUAAUAUAUGCAUGCGGUCGAUCGAAUAACCAUGAUUCUCUACUACUUAAAAAUAGUAGUACAUCUGGGGGAUUUUUUUCCAGUA